rnacentral:lncRNA from 1 species
GGGUACGGAAUCAGAUUCAAGAACAUGCCCUGUAAUCCAGAACAUGCCCUUGCUGCAUCAAACGAUCCAAAUAAGAAGACAAGUUUAAAACAAAAAGAAGUUUGAGCUAGAAAUCGGCAUUGGGUUCACACAGAAUUAAACAAAAAUGAAUCGAAUUGAGAGAUAAUCUGACGCGCUCCCCCUGGCGGGCUUUCUGGAAAUCGCCGCUGUCGGUCUUCAUGAAAAUCGCCGCGGCCGACGUGGCUUUGAUCGGAGGAGCCGAAGAAGAGGACCUCUCGUCUCUGUCAAGCAACCUGAAGGCCAAAUUUUCAGAAAAGCUUCAAACCCCCCAAAUCUAGGAAAACUUAAAAGAAAAACCAUUAAAAUCCCUCGAUUCACAUCUCAAUCCACCUUGAUUACGACCCCAUAUUUCUGCCAUGGAGCUCAAGUGCAAGAAAUUGAGAAAAAUCGGGGAUCCCUCAUCCCUCAAAUCGACAUAUCUCUGGCCUCUCUCUGCGCUUCCCUCAAGCAACCGUCGUUGCUCUCUUCCCUCCGUCAAACAACUGGCGAAGAAUCGAUGAAGAAGACGAAGAGAGGUGAAGAAGACAAAGAGAGAAUGGGUUGAGGGAGAAGACGAAGAUAUAUGGUUUGGGUGAAAGUUUCACUUUUAAGAAGAAAUAGGGAGAAAACGAUGAAUUAAUUAAGGAAAAUAAGGG